rnacentral:rRNA from 1 species
GCAACCACGAACGGGUGGAGCUUGCGGUUUAAUUGGAUUACAACGCCGAAUCUUACCGGGACCGACAGCAAUAUGAAGGCCAGGCUGAAGACUUUGCCGGAUUAGCUGAGAGGUGGUGCAUGGCCGUCGUCAGUUCGUACUGUGAAGCAUCCUGUUAAGUCAGGCAACGAGCGAGACCCACGCCCACAGUUGCCAGCGUACUCUCUGGAGUGACGGGUACACUGUGGGACCGCCGCUGCUAAGCGGAGGAAGGAAUGGGCAACGGUAGGUCAGUAUGCCCCGAAUAUCCCGGGCUACACGCGAGCUACAAUGGUUGGUACAAUGGGUAUCUACCCCGAAAGGGGACGGGAAUCUCCUAAAACCAAUCUUAGUUCGGAUUGAGGGCUGCAACUCGCCCUCAUGAAGCUGGAAUCCGUAGUAAUCGCGUUUCAACAGAACGCGGUGAAUACGUCCCUGCUCCUU